rnacentral:rRNA from 1 species
GUACACUCCUACGGGAGGCAGCAGUGGGGAAUUUUGGACAAUGGGCGAAAGCCUGAUCCAGCAAUGCCGCGUGAGUGAAGAAGGCCUUCGGGUUGUAAAGCUCUUUUGUCAGGGAAGAAACGGUGAGAGCUAAUAUCUCUUGCUAAUGACGGUACCUGAAGAAUAAGCACCGGCUAACUACGUGCCAGCAGCCGCGGUAAUACGUAGGGUGCAAGCGUUAAUCGGAAUUACUGGGCGUAAAGCGUGCGCAGGCGGUUUUGUAAGUCUGAUGUGAAAUCCCCGGGCUCAACCUGGGAAUUGCAUUGGAGACUGCAAGGCUAGAAUCUGGCAGAGGGGGGUAGAAUUCCACGUGUAGCAGUGAAAUGCGUAGAUAUGUGGAGGAACACCGAUGGCGAAGGCAGCCCCCUGGGUCAAGAUUGACGCUCAUGCACGAAAGCGUGGGGAGCAAACAGGAUUAGAAACCCUAGUAGUCCCA